rnacentral:rRNA from 1 species
UGAACGCUGGCGGCAUGCCUAACACAUGCAAGUCGAACGGAAACGAUGGAAGCUUGCUUCCAGGCGUCGAGUGGCGGACGGGUGAGUAAUACUUAGGAAUCUGCCCAUUAGUGGGGGACAACAUUCGGAAACGGAUGCUAAUACCGCAUACGCCCUACGGGGGAAAGCGGGGGAUCUUCGGACCUCGCGCUAAUGGAUGAGCCUAAGUCGGAUUAGCUAGUUGGUGAGGUAAAGGCUCACCAAGGCGACGAUCCGUAGCUGGUCUGAGAGGACGAUCAGCCACACUGGGACUGAGACACGGCCCAGACUCCUACGGGAGGCAGCAGUGGGGAAUAUUGGACAAUGGGGGAAACCCUGAUCCAGCAAUGCCGCGUGUGUGAAGAAGGCCUGCGGGUUGUAAAGCACUUUCAGUAGAGAAGAAAAGCCUACGGUUAAUAACCGUGAGUCUUGACGUUACCUACAGAAGAAGCUCCGGCUAACUCC